rnacentral:tRNA from 1 species
GCCCGGGUGGCUCAGUGGUAGAGCGCCACCUUCAGCCCAGGGCGUGACCCUGGAGACCCGGGUUCGAGUCCCAUGUCGGGCU